rnacentral:rRNA from 1 species
AACGAACGCUGGCGGCAUGCCUAACACAUGCAAGUCGAACGAGACCUUCGGGUUUAGUGGCGCACGGGUGCGUAACGCGUGGGAACCUGCCCUUAGGUUCGGAAUAACUCCCCGAAAGGGGUGCUAAUACCGGAUAAUGUCUUCCGACCAAAGAUUUAUCGCCUUUGGAUGGGCCCGCGUUGGAUUAGCUAGUUGGUAGGGUAAAAGCCUACCAAGGCGACGAUCCAUAGCUGGUCUGAGAGGAUGGUCAGCCACACUGGGACUGAGACACGGCCCAGACUCCUACGGGAGGCGGCAGUGGGGAAUAUUGGACAAUGGGCGAAAGCCUGAUCCAGCAAUGCCGCGUGAGUGAUGAAGGCCUUAGGGUUGUAAAGCUCUUUUACCCGGGAUGAUAAUGACAGUACCGGGAGAAUAAGCUCCGGCUAACUCCGUG